GAACCGAGGCUUUGGGAAGUCUUGUGCCUGUGAGUUGUGUCACUAAGCAAACAGAAAAGGAGCAGGGACGGUGACUAGGUGUUAUCUGCUCAAGAGAUUGCUCGACUCACAGUCAAGUUGAGGAGCAGCUCCUGGAAGGAAUCGAAGUAGCUGUUGACUGAUUCAAAGCUGCCCCGAAGGUGCCGGAGGCCCCAGUCAGAAAAGGACUCCUCGGCUUCGGGGCCGGGGUCACUCUGAGCCAGGCCACCCCCCAGGCUAAGCCACAAGAUCAAGAAGCCGGUGGCCAGCUUCAUCCUGCAGACAGGGAUUGGACUUGGGACCUCAUGCUUGCGAGGCAGGCGACGGCACCACUGAGCUAAAUCCCCGGCCCCUGAUCUAUCUAAUGUUAAUAGCACUUACAGAACAGCAGUUCUCAACAGAAGUGGAAGAGCAAGUCCCCAGAGGUGAUGGCAGGGAAAUCUGCUUACCAGGGGACGACUGGCAAUGUCUGGCAACAUUUUUAACUGUCACAAAUGGAGAAAGGAUGAUGGGCAUCUAACGGGUGCCAGAGAUGCUGCUAAACACCCUACACAGCUCAAACUGCCCUGAACAACAAAGAAUGGUCUGAUUCAAAAUGUCAAUGUUUCAAGACUGAGAAACCACCUCUUAAAGUGAUACAUUUUUAUACCUGAAAGUGUUCUACUCAUCCCUCUGUACUUCUUUAAAAUAAAAAUGUUUUUAAAACUAAUUUCAUUGGUAUAUUUUAGGUA